AUUCCUCUCUUUCUCUUCCAUCUCUCACUCGCCCGAGGCAUAUCUCUUUUUGGGAUUUCUAGGUUUCAGUUUUAACCAUUUUUAUGUUGUCUUUCAUGUUUCUAUUUCAGAGAAUUUUAGGUUUUCUUCAUGCUUCCUACAAUUUUAUAAUGGAUUUCCUUCAUGAUUUUGGUCAAUUGUAGCUAUUAUAUCCUUCUGGCUAUUUUUCUUAACAGCUUAGGUUUUCUUUCGUGUUUGCUUGCGCUUCGUGUAUAGUCGGUUUUCUUCCUCGUUUUGUUCAAUCGUAGCAAUGAAAUUCUUCUGGUUAUCUUCUCGCCCACUUUGCCGGAGAUGUCAGCAAAAAUUUCCUAAUGACCUCAAUCAAUUUCCCUUUAUUUUGAACAACUAUUUUUUUUUAUUAGUCUUUGCCACUUCUGUUGCAGUAUCAUGAUCGACAAUGCCGGUUGUUCAACGUCACUAGCGUUAUGAUUGACAGUGGAAGACAAUAUGGAGUGCUGCUCGAAACGGAUCAAUUCUAUUUGAUUUGAACCUUUAAAUGAAGAAAGGUUUACAUCUAUUGUAUAUUAUAUAAAGUUGGUCAUAGAGUAUUAUUUGACGUGCUUGAAUUUCAUCUACCUAAUGACUCUUCUCUUAGUCACCACCAACAAUUAUCAUUGCUGCUUUUUCUCAUUCAUUCCUCAAAUUAUGUCAUUUUUAUUUUGCAAUGUCUUUUAGAACUGUCAAUUUAAACACAAACUAAAGCAAAUCACAAGUCGUGUCUAUCGGUAUAUACACAUUUAAUUGGAGAUUAUCAACUACGGAACAGGUGAAGUAACUAAUUCUCCAGUGAAUCGUUUAUUCAUCAUUAGUUUUCUGUUAUUUCCAGUUACUCCUCAUAUCGAAUCCAAAAUGAAAAUGUGAAAUUAAUAAGGUGUUGCAUAAGUUUUUCUCAUAUAUGUAAGUGAAUGUGUUUCUUUACAUUUGUUUAUGGGCAGAAGAGAUGACGCAUGGUUUGCCUCUAUAGAAAGAUCAUGUAUUCAAAUGACUUGAAGUGAUAGGGGUUCUAUAUCGCUUGAGGGCCUCGGACUAGAAGUUGUGGAAAAUUUUCAGGAAGGCAAUUUUAUUUUGGCUAACGGAACUGAGCCCUUGGGGCCUCUUCUGGUGCCACACUUCCAUGAAUCUUGAUGUCCUUGAGAAGAUACUGGAGCAGUGUGCUGCUAAGAAAAUUCUCGUGUUAGUAGCAACAAAUCCUAAUUUUGUAACUGUUGAAGCUAAGGGUCUGCGUGUUAUGCCUGGCUGCACUACUAGAGACGACAUGUCUUCAUAACGCACCAUUAUGUGUAGAAGGAUAAGGAAAACAUUCAUCUGAAACAGUCCUCUCACCAGAAAAUGU